AAACCGUGAUAAGGGAACCCCGAGUGCCCGUAAAUCGGGCUGUUAACCUGUUUAAAAAGCAGGUGGAGAAAGGGCCGGGCAAGACCGGUGCCAGCCGCCGCGGUAACACCGGCGGCUCGAGUGGUGGCCACUAUUACUGGGCUUAAAGCGUCCGUAGCUGGAUUGUUAAGUCUCUUGGGAAAUCUACCGGCUUAACCGAUAGGCGUUCAAGGGAUACUGGCAAUCUAGGGACCGGGAGAGGUGAGAGGUACUCCAGGGGUAGGAGUGAAAUCCUGUAAUCCUUGGGGGACCACCUGUGGCGAAGGCGUCUCACCAGAACGGCUCCGACAGUGAGGGACGAAAGCUGGGGGAGCAAACCGGAUUAGAUACCCGGGUAGUCCCAGCUGUAAACGAUGCGCGUUAGGUGUAUCGGUGACCACGAGUCACCGAGGUGCCGAAGAGAAAUCGUGAAACGUGCCGCCUGGGAAGUACGGUCGCAAGGCUGAAACUUAA
rnacentral:rRNA from 1 species